AGUGAACGCUGGCGGUAGGCCUAACACAUGCAAGUCGAACGGCAGCACAGUAAGAGCUUGCUCUUACGGGUGGCGAGUGGCGGACGGGUGAGGAAUACAUCGGAAUCUACUUUUUCGUGGGGGAUAACGUAGGGAAACUUACGCUAAUACCGCAUACGACCUACGGGUGAAAGCAUGGGAUCUUCGGACCUUGCGCGAUUGAAUGAGCCGAUGUCGGAUUAGCUAGUUGGCGGGGUAAAGGCCCACCAAGGCGACGAUCCGUAGCUGGUCUGAGAGGAUGAUCAGCCACAAGGGAACUGAGACAAGGUCCAGACUCCUACGGGAGGCAGCAGUGGGGAAUAUUGGACAAUGGGCGCAAGCCUGAUCCAGCCAUACCGCGUGGGUGAAGAAGGCCUUCGGGUUGUAAAGCCCUUUUGUUGGGAAAGAAAAGCAGCAGGUUAAUACCCCGCUGUUCUGACGGUACCCAAAGAAUAAGCACCGGCUAACUUUGUG
rnacentral:rRNA from 1 species